CUUAGAUUAUUGUCUUAAUGAAAAAAAUCAAAAACACGGAGGGCACAUGUGUGUCAUCUAAGGAUGUCGCUUUAUAAAUUUUAGUGGAAGCGCGCGUUCCAUCAUUUUUAAUAGCAGGGGGGAAAUGAAAUCCUAAAAAAUUAAAAACCUUGCAUUUCAUCCAUCUUUUAGGGAUUCCAUGUAAACCCUAGACCUCAUUUGAAGGUUUCGUUCUUAGUCAAGUUGUUUCUGUUCGGGAAGGAAUAACGAAUUCAUCCUCUCCACCAGCCGACAAGCUUCACUCUUUUCUUCUCCUUUUCUCUGUAAACCCUAGACCUUAUUAUGCAGCUGCAACUCUUCCCCCCUUUCGUAUUUUUGGAGCUUGGCAGGCAUACAGUGGUCAACGAUGUCAACUAUCCUCUUUUAUCCACCAUUUUCUCCCUCUGAGACGUUAAAGACACACCAUCCCAAAAUUGGAAGAACUAGGGCUUUUGUGCUCUGGAUCUCACAGGAAACAAGUUUGCCUCGUCCCCACCCUCACCCAUCCAAAUUCCUUCUUGUUCAAAUGAUUAUAUGUUCUUACCUCUCAACCGUACCUGAAUCAAUAUAUCUAUCUCUCUUGUGUCUAUUCUCUCAAUAUCUCACGUGCUUUCCUAUUUACAGCCAGAGUUUGAGAGUGAAAAGAAAAAAGAAAGAAAGAAAAGAUGUGCCUAUUAUUCCUCUUUCUCCCUCUUUUCUUCCUCUGGUUCGAUCAAAUCCCUUCUUCUUCUUAUUAUUUUUUUCGAUUUCCAGGUGAGGUUGCGUUCGAAGGUUGUCAAGGGGUUGUGAGGAGAAGGGAGAAGAAGGGUUGUGAUCUCUUCUUUUGAAAGCGGUGAUGAAUCUACCACGAGGCGGCACAAAAGCAACUAGACUCAUCCACAUCGGUGGAGAAGGGAAAAGAGGAGUUCUAAAAGAGAGAAAGAGAAGAGAAGAAAGAGGCGGAAGAUAAAGAUAGAAGGAAAAUGAGCAGGCGCUGGAGAUCAAAUUGAGAGGCAAAAGGAGUGGUUCAGAUUCAGAAGACUUCAUCUUUUUGAUUUCAUCUCCAUUGAGUACAAGUCGGCGUCGAUCGGGUCAUACAAACCGACGUGACAACUCAUUCCUUAAUCUCAAUGCGCCAUCACACCCCUAAAUCUUGAUUUCACAGACACCUGUCUUUGAUUUUUUGUCUAUUCCUUUUUUCCUCCUUUUUGAAUCCCUUUCUAUUGCGUUACAGCAGAAACACAUUUUCAAUUCCGAAAAAACCCCUAAAUAUGACCUAGUCGGCAUGUUUAAAACGAUGAUUCUGAUGAUACCAUCUACUAAGGAAGAAGAAAGGAAAAAUGAUGAGGCAUCGUAACAUCAUCAUUGACCACCGUCCACAUAUUCUCCCUAAGUCAAAACCCUAAAUAUUGUGGUGGAAGGUUUGACAGCGCCAAAGAUGGAGACAUCAAAGUGCUUGUUAAUGGGUUUAACGAUAAAUCCAGUAUGCCCAUGAGAGGUUCCCCAUACCACUGUUUCCUUCGGUUUUCUAUCUUUCUUAUAUAUAAUUUUCUUUUUGAAAUUGCAGGUUUUGUUUGUUGUUUGUUGAAAUCGCCCCCACUUUUGAUGUUUUCUCUUUUGUAAAUAUGGCCGAAGGGGAUGGGUCUCAAAUUCUAUUGAAAGCCUGAUUUCCAUGGGAUUUAUGGAGUAUAAACUCUCAUACAAGUUCUCGUAUCCCACACACCAAAAGAAACGGGGAGGGGGUUUGAACGUGUGAUGAUAUUAGGGAUUACAAAGAACAUGAUAUAAGGGAAUUGGUAGCUGCUCAAUGUCUUGGAUAUCUAUGAUUUUAUAUCUCGCUCACAGGAGCAGUGGUUGGGUUGAAAUAUCAUGGGAAUCUCGCUUUGAAUCCUGAUUCCAUUCCAGGAGGCCACACCAUGCUAGAAUUCAAGGAGUUACUGAUCUUUUUGUCACAGG